GACCCCGUAGCUCAGUGGUAGAGCGUGAGAUUCCAGCUUGUCGUUUCCUCAAGGUCAUCCGUUCAAUCCGGGUCGGGGUCA